AUCCAACUGAUAAGUCUCAUAUAAGACGAAACGCGCGUCCUAGAU
rfam:Schistosoma mansoni strain Puerto Rico chromosome 4, complete genome